rnacentral:lncRNA from 1 species
CUAAGUCACUGGGCUUCCUGGGGCCAGCUUACUCCUGGACUUCCCUGCUAUUUGAACCCAUCAUUCCAGUUUGGCUUAACUCAGUGUCACUACAAGCUUUAACGUCUCAGGUCCUGACCAUAAAAUCAACAGAGGAAGACAGAGUGGAGAUAAGGAGUAAAAAUGAGUCCAAUGACAUCAUUUGGAUCCUGAAUUCAUUUGUGCCCUAAGCCAACAUCUACCCUGAACGUUUCUGAUAGAGGAGAAAAUAUCUUCUCUCUCUCAAGUCAAUUCAAGUUAAGUUUUCAGCCCCACUCAAGAUAAAGAGUUCUGACAUAUGAACCUCAUAUCGCCAAUACGUUUCUUUGUUUUGCAGGCUGCCCAGCCAAACUUCAAGAAAAAAGGAAAAGAAGUGCUGGGUCAGCUGCCUUUUGAUGGAAAUACAUCUCACUCUGAGAUGAAUAUGGAUGGUUACAAUAAAAAUUAAGUGCAUGUACGGUAAAUGGGCAUUGUUGGAUAAAUGCAGUGAUGGAAGAAAAUAAGAUGGUGGUCAUGCCAUUUCUACCUGACUUCCUUUUCUCCAACUUGAUGAUACUCUACCUUCAGAAACAGGAACCUUUGUUCUUAAACAGAGGAAGUUGUAAACUCUCCAAUAGCAAAUUUUAUUAACUCAUAGGCAAUACUAUAAAUGAUGGUACUCUAUUGAGUCAAUGCCUUCAACAUGAAUCAGGAGAUUAACUUUUGCUGCAAACUGUCAAUCUUUACUCCCAAAUUAUGAAUUGACAACUACUCCAUCAAUGCCCAAUUCUUAUUAAGUGCAUUUUCUACUGGCUCAAGUUCUAUCUUUGAUUGCUCUUUUCGGAA